UACGUAGGGUGCGAGCGUUAAUCGGAAUUACUGGGCGUAAAGCGUGCGCAGGCGGUUUUGUAAGCCAGAUGUGAAAUCCCCGGGCUUAACCUGGGAAUGGCAUUUGGGACUGCAAGGCUGGAGUGUGGCAGAGGAGACUGGAAUUCCUGGUGUAGCAGUGAAAUGCGUAGAUAUCAGGAGGAACACCGAUGGCGAAGGCAGCUCGCUGGGACGGUACUGACGCUGAGGCGCGAAAGCGUGGGGAGCAAACAGG
rnacentral:rRNA from 1 species